GACGAACGCUGGCGGCGUGCUUAACACAUGCAAGUCGAACGGAAAGGCCUGCUUUCCCUUGUGGAUUGCGGGUACUCGAGUGGCGAACGGGUGAGUAACACGUGAGUGAUCUGCCCCCAACUUGGGUAUAAGCCUGGGAAACUGGGUCUAAUUCCCGAUAGGACUGCAGGGUGGUGCCUGUGGUGGAAAACGAUUUUCUAGUGGUUGGGGAUGAGCUCGCGGCCUAUCAGCUUGUUGGUGGGGUAAUGGCCUACCAAGGCGGCGACGGGUAGCCGGCCGGGGGGGGUGGCCGGCCCCAUUGGGACUGAGAUACGGCCCAGGCUCCUACGGGAGGCAGCAGUGGGGAAGAUUGCACAAUGGGCGGAAGCCUGAUGCAGCGACGCCGAGUGGGGGAUGACGGCCUUCGGGUUGUAAACUCCUUUCGACCGCGAGGAAGCCACCUGGUUGAAAGGGUGGUGACGGUAGUGGUAGAAGAAGCACCGGCUAACUACGUG
rnacentral:rRNA from 1 species